rnacentral:pre_miRNA from 14 species
AAUGCGGCUCAGAUGGUCAUCACCAAGGCAUCUUGGUAGAAAGCAGAUUCUGAUUCCGGGACCAAGAUUCUGCAUUUUUAGCAAGUUCUUGAGUGCUGCCGCAGCAGCUGGUCUGUGC